ensembl:lncRNA
CGUGGCUGUUAUUUGGAGAGGCGGGGCUUAAGGAAGUGGAGCUGGAUGGAGGACGGAUGACUCCUGCAGGACUGAAGGCUGUACUGGACUUCAGCUACAGUGGAGAGAUGGACAGAAGAGAAACAGAUGAGGUGCUGGAAGCCUGUAGGUGUUUAGGGGCCGAAAUACUCGAGCUACUGUGUGGCAACGACGCUGUGGUCAGCAGGAGUGAAGAGAGGGAAAGAAGCCUGAGGGUCAUACAGACACUGUGGGAGAGAAACAUUGGCUGUGAUGUCAUCAUACAGACAGACAGUGGAGACCGUUUCUCUGAGCUGUGAAGGAUGAUAAAGACCGGAGACUGUCUCAUCUCUCCUGACUGAUGCAGAGCGUUCAGUUCCCUCUCAUGCGACCGCAGCAGAAGCUGCAGGAGGUGUCUGAAGAUCAUGUUCAAAUUUCUAAUUAUAUAUCAACCUUUUACUAGACGUUAUAUAGUAAAGAAGAUGAUGGCAAUACAAGACCAUUUUUAGAAAGAGAUAGAUCAGGUUAGUAUGAUGUCGUGCGACAAAUAUAUUUCAAGAAGAAGUAAGAUUUGGGAUCAGUAAAUUAAAAUACAAUAAAUCUCCUGGUAACGAUGGUUUGGUUAGCAGAUUUUACAAGGAAUUUCAAGAACAAUUAUCUGAGAUUUUACUAUGUGUGUUUACUGAACGUGGUGAGCUACCAUCAUAAUGUCAGGGACUGAUCUGUCUGAUACCAAAAGCUAAUAAGGACACUACCAUAAUAGACAAUUGGAGACCUAUUACAUUUACUCAGUAACGAUGUUAAAGUGUUUGCCAUUAUUUUUGCAGAAAGAUUAAAAAAAUGCUUAGAACUAAUUAUAGAGGAUUGGUAGUCAGGAUUCAUGAAGGGCAGACAUAUAAGUAAUAAUAUUCAUUUGGUCCUAGACUUAACUGAUUAUAAUGAGUAUAUUGAUAGUGAAAGUUUUAUAAUUUUUGUAGAUUUUUAUAAAGCAUUUGACAUUGUUAACCACAAAUUUAUGUUUGAGACUUUGGAUUUGCUUGGCUUUGGUGAUUUCUUUAAAAGGGCCAUUUAUACUUUAUAUACGGGGUGUAAUGGCACUAUAUCCCCAGAUUUCUCUUAGAAAGAAGCAUAAGGCAGGGAUGCCCAAUAUCUCCUUUUUACUUGUAACCCUUGUAAUCUUUAAAUGAACAGAUAUAAUCUUCACAGAAUCAGGAUUUUAGAAAGAAAAAUAAAAUGCUGUCAAU